UGCGUAGGGGGCAAGCGUUGUCCGGAUUUAUUGGGCGUAAAGAGCUCGUAGGCGGUCUGUUACGUCCGCUGUGAAAACCCAGGGCUUAACCCUGGGCUUGCAGUGGAUACGGGUAGACUAGAGGCAGGUAGGGGAGAAUGGAAUUCCCGGUGUAGCGGUGAAAUGCGCAGAUAUCGGGAGGAACACCGGUGGCGAAGGCAGCUCGCUGGGACGUGACUGACGCUGAGACGCGAAAAGCGUGGGGAGCAAACAGG
rnacentral:rRNA from 1 species